GUGCCAGCCGCCGCGGUAAUACGUAAGGAGCGAGCGUUGUCCGGAUUUACUGGGCGUAAAGGGCUCGUAGGUGGUUUCUUAGGUCUCACGUGAAAUUCCCUGGCUCAACCAGGGAGGGUCGUGGGAAACCGAGAGGCUAGAGGGCAGGAGAGGAGAGUGGAAUUCCCGGUGUAGCGGUGAAAUGCGUAGAGAUCGGGAGGAACACCAGUGGCGAAGGCGGGUCUCUGGGCCGAUACUGACGCUGAGGAGCGAAAGCGUGGGGAGCGAACAGGAUUAGAUACCCUGGUAGUCCACGCCGUAAACGAUGGGUGCUAGGUGUUGGGGGGUAAAGACCCUUCAGUGCCGAAGCCAACGCGAUAAGCAUCCCACCUGGGGAGUACGGCCGCAAGGUUGAAACUCAAAUGAAUUGGCGG
rnacentral:rRNA from 1 species